GUGGGGAAUCUUGCGCAAUGGGCGAAAGCCUGACGCAGCCAUGCCGCGUGAAUGAUGAAGGUCUUCGGAUUGUAAAAUUCUUUCACCGGGGACGAUAAUGACGGUACCCGGAGAAGAAGCUCCGGCUAACUUCGUGCCAGCAGCCGCGGUAAUACGAAGGGGGCUAGCGUUGCUCGGAAUUACUGGGCGUAAAGGGCGCGUAGGCGGACAGCUUAGUCAGAGGUGAAAGCCCAGGGCUCAACCUUGGAAUUGCCUUUGAUACUGGCUGUCUUGAGUUUGGGAGAGGUGAGUGGAACUCCGAGUGUAGAGGUGAAAUUCGUAGAUAUUCGGAAGAACACCAGUGGCGAAGGCGACUCACUGGCCCAAUACUGACGCUGAGGCGCGAAAGCGUGGGGAGCAAACAGGAUUAGAAACCCGUGUAGUCC
rnacentral:rRNA from 1 species